GUGGGAUUUUGGCUUAGUGGUAGAGCACUCGCCUUGCACGUGUGGGGCACUGGGUCCAAUCCUCAGCACCACA
rnacentral:tRNA from 1 species